rnacentral:rRNA from 1 species
GCAGCAACGCCGCGUGAGUGAUGAAGGUUUUCGGAUCGUAAAGCUCUGUCUUUGGGGAAGAUAAUGACGGUACCCAAGGAGGAAGCCACGGCUAACUACGUGCCAGCAGCCGCGGUAAUACGUAGGUGGCGAGCGUUAUCCGGAUUUACUGGGCGUAAAGGGAGCGUAGGCGGAUGAUUAAGUGGGAUGUGAAAUACCCGGGCUCAACUUGGGUGCUGCAUUCCAAACUGGUUAUCUAGAGUGCAGGAGAGGAGAGUGGAAUUCCUAGUGUAGCGGUGAAAUGCGUAGAGAUUAGGAAGAACACCAGUGGCGAAGGCGACUCUCUGGACUGUAACUGACGCUGAGGCUCGAAAGCGUGGGGAGCAAACAGGAUUAGAUACCCUGG